GACAAAUAUGCCGACUUAACUAAAGAAGUCGGCAGCCCGCCCAGCGCCCGAAUUACGCAUCAUAGGACAGAAGGGUUUAGGAGUACUCGCCGACGGCAUUCUUGCGCUCAUCGCCAGAAUUCAGAGAAACCCCUCCGACGGCCUCAGUCCUCUCUAUAUACCCUCCUCUCCUUAUCUCGUCCUCGUCCUCGUCCCCGUCCCGGCAAUUAUUUUCUCGUUGUCUUCCCGUUCUAGGGUUUUGCUACAUGUGGAGCCGACGAGCGUUCCUUUUCUUCCAACGAAUCCGGUCUGCUGCCCAAUUCGCCGCCGCCGACGCUCGAAGGGUUUCCACCACAGGCCCAUCCAUCUCCUUCUCCGGCUCAAAAAGCUAUGGCCAAUUUAAUUAUGGUUCCGCAUGGAGGAAACAUCCUUGGGAUUUCAUGUUGGGGAUUAUGCUAUCCGGACCUGUUGCAAUUUAUCUCAGUUUCAGCAGGAACCCUGUCUCUGCUCAAGAUGUUUCUGAGGCUGAUUUGGUUACUGAAAAUGAUGAAGCACAAGCUUACGUUACUGGUUUACGCAGAAUUGAAGAUGGUUCAGUAAUAUCAAAUUCACAUACAUCUAGGUGGAGAAUUUUUACAGAUCAUGGCAGGGACCUAUUUCUGAAAGGUAAGCUAGAUGAAGCUGAGAAGUACUUCCAGUCAGCUGUACAUGAGGCUAAAGAAGGAUUUGGAACAAGGGAUCCACAUGUUGCAUCAUCAUAUAACAACCUGGCGGAGCUUUACAGGGUAAGCAAAGCAUUUGAGAAAGCCGAGCCAUUAUAUUUGGAAGCUAUUAGUAUCUUAGAAGAAUCAUUUGGGGCUGAUGAUAUACGUGUAGGGGCUGCUCUUCACAACCUUGGGCAGUUUUAUCUUGCACAACGGAAACUUGAACAAGCACGGACAUGUUAUGAGCGGGCUUUGAAGAUAAAAGGUCGUGUUCUGGGCCAUGGUCACACAGACUAUGCAAAUACAAUGUAUCAUCUUGGAACGGUGCUGCAUCUACUAGGGAAGGAAAAGGACUCAAUGGCCCUUAUACAGGAGUCUAUUAGCAUACUUGAGGAAAACGGUCUAGGGGAAUCAACAACAUGUGUACGGAGGAUGAGGUAUCUUUCCCAGAUUUUGCUCAGCUCAAAUCGACUGGCUGAGGCUGAAAGUCUGCAAAGGAAGAUUUUGCACAUCUUGGAACUUUCAAAGGGAUGGGAUUCAUUGGAAACCGUAUUAGCAGCUGAACGCCUAGCCUUGACACUACAAGCUAAUGGGAGUUUGCUGGAAGCCCAAGAACUUUUGGAACGAUGUCUGGUUGCUAGAAAGGAGAUUCUUCCCCCAGCUCAUGUGCAGGUGGCUGCAAACAUGCUUCAUUUGGCAAGAAUAGCUAUGCUCAACUCUAAGCAACUAUGGAAGAUGAAAAGUUCUAAAGCAAAGAGUGAACUUGAAAAAGCAAAACUUCUUAUAGACAACUCAAUCAGGAUGGCUAAGGCUGUUUUGGACCAUCCAACAAAGAACAGAAAUAGCCUUCAAAGUAAUAAUGCCCAUACUGACAUAGAGAAGGAUCAGCAUGUAGCUCUGAUCAUACUGCUGCAAUCUCUUGAUGCUGUUGGCCUUUUGGAAGUUACAAAGCAUGAAAUACUGGAAACAAAGUUUCCAGAAGAUAUUCAGAUAUCAAUGUGUAUCAAACUUAACACAUCAAAAUUUGCACUGGGAUUUCUUACAUUGGUCGUGGGGUUGUCUGCUGCCACAAUUCAGUUACUCUGCUUAUAUGCUAGCCAAGUUGUAUGAAUGGUAGCUAUUGACAUCAGCCGAGGCAUGUGAAUUUCCAUCAGAGGCUGAACUUGCUCUUCGUGAGUGUGUUUCAAUUUUCAAAGAGCCUCAUACCCGGAGGAUGUUGCUGAAUGCUUCAGAUGUCACGGCAGAAUACCUUUCAUGCUUGAAGCAUCUCACGAGUCUCCUUGGUGAAAGUACAGAUGAGUCGAAGCUAAGAGUGCUACAAGAGCUGAAAUAUGAACUCCAGCAUAUAGAAGCCGAGCUCACACCAAGGAGGCAAAGAAACUAAUGCAUUUUACUGAUCUGACUUGUCAGGAUCUUUUCAGAGCAUUGUUCGUUAUCCUUAUACUUCCUUCCUGGAAAUGUAAAUUUUGUAUACUCUUAAUCCACUUUAAAUCUUUUUUUUUUGAGGUACCAUGCAAAUAAGCCAGCUUAGUGGUCGCCCAUCAAAUUUAAAAGUAGGCAUUCUCUGAAAACUUUAUCCAUCAUCUGGCUGAGGACAUUUUUCUGUAACAUGCUACGUCGUUUGCUUUGAUCUUGUUUUCCUUGGGUUUGUUGCUUUAAAUUAAUAACCAGAUAGCCGCUUGCUUUCUGUCCAACC